GACGAACGCUGGCGGCGUGCUUAACACAUGCAAGUCGAACGGUGAAGGGGUCUGCUUUUGUGGGCCCUGGAUGAGUGGCGAACGGGUGAGUAACACGUGAGUAACCUGCCCCCUUCUUCUGGAUAACCGCAUGAAAGUGUGGCUAAUACGGGAUAUUCUGGGUCUGUCGCAUGAUGGGUCUGGGAAAGAUUGCGCCUUUGGGUGUUUUUGGUGGGGGAUGGGCUCGCGGCCUAUCAGCUUGUUGGUGGGGUGAUGGCCUACCAAGGCGGUGACGGGUAGCCGGCCUGAGAGGGUGGACGGUCACACUGGGACUGAGACACGGCCCAGACGCCUACGGGAGGCAGCAGUGGGGAAUAUUGCACAAUGGGCGCAAGCCUGAUGCAGCGACGCCGCGUGAGGGAUGGAGGCCUUCGGGUUGUAAACCUCUUUCGCCAGUGAAGCAGGCCUGCUCCUUGUGGGUGGGUUGACGGUAGCUGGAUAAGAAGCGCCGGCUAACUACGUG
rnacentral:rRNA from 1 species